rnacentral:lncRNA from 1 species
CCUCCAUCUUCUUCCUCUCGUCACGUUGAUCUACUCGACUCUUCGUCAGAUCCAGGACGUGAGAAGCCAUCCAGCCGCGUCGUCGUCGUCGGAGCUCAUCUACGUCGUCUACGGUCUUCACCGGGGACGUGCCACUCUGAGUCGCUCUUCUUCCUGUAUAUGGUAAGUAGUACUCCCCAUUAGAUUUUUUACUUCGGAGUUCGUCGUGUUCGUCAUAGUUCUUUCAAGUUGUAGUAGUGGUAGAUCCAAGAACUCUCAGUCCCGUUAGUAUAUGUAGUUUUAACUUAGUCUCCUCUGUAUUUCGAAAUAUGAUAGAUCAAUAAUGCCUUAUUCAUAAGACCUUGUGUUCAUUAUGCCUUCGAUACCUCCUAUUUUUGUAGAACAAUUUAUUUUCCGUUUUCCAUGAUUUAUUAGAUCCAUUCAUCAUGUUUCUUUGAUAGAAAGUAGUUUUUGCACGUAAAUUGUGUUAAGUCCCCUGGAGCUCGUGCUUCACUAUUUUGCCGGCUUUACUCAUACUUCGCUAUUUAGCGGCUUAACUCAUACUUCACCAUUUUAGCCAGCUUAGCUAUUUCGUCUCGUAUUAGCUCAUGUAUUUAUCUACCGGCUUAUCUGGUUGUCCGUUGCUUUCUCGUAUGCCGUCUCAUUUCAGCACACCAGCUCAUUCAGACAUUCUGGCUUGUUUUCUGUUUCCUACUUUUAGUGUUACUUCAAUAAUUACAAUGGCCCCAAAGUUAAUUAAGGUUGAGAUCUUUGACUGCUCAUGGUCUCACUAGGAUCCAUCUCAUCCGGUCUUGGAUAAGCUCGAGGAUCCAACCCCUUAGUUUAAGGGGCAAAUUGAUGUGAAAUCAUACGACCGAGUCGAUGGAUGCUCAAUGCUUUAGCGAGAAGGAUUUGUCUGAAAAUGAAAUCAAUCAUGCCACCAAAAAAUGUUUGCCAACUUGAAAGAGAUAUGUAGCGGUUAGCUCCAUUCUAAGGGACCAACCCGGUUCCACCUGUAAGUGUUCUUUUAAACUUGUCUACUUCCUUUAUCAUAACUUUCUCAUUGUCGCUCUUACGUUUUCGUCUUGUGUUAUUACUGCAGGAAAAUUCUGAUUGGUGGAAAUCCAUGGCAAUAAAGUCAUAGAAUCGGAGGAAGAACUUUGACUCGCUUGGCCGUCUCUUUAUUGAACUUGCUAAUGAUUCUUCUCCCGAGGACAAUCUGAAACUACUCAAGCCGGCGAUGUUGAGGUAAUUUCGAUCUCCUCCAACUCUUCAGGAACAAAUGUUAUGAAGAGGAUAACAUGAGCCGUCAAAAAGAUAAGUUUUCACACUGAGAUGCUUACUUAGAUCCAAACUUUCUUUUGAAACAAAAUCAACACGUUGCUCAGUCAAAGCUCAAGACCAGGAGUAGCUCUAGGGAACUGUACACUGGCUUACCUCUCGAGCUGGUCACGUGCAGGCAACGCUUUGAGGUGCCGCAUAGUCCAACUGUUUCUCAUCCCCAAGUUGGCCUUUUUAAACAACCUCUUAGUCCUUCUAAUUCACUUUAUCAAGAGUCACCGCCCUCCUCUAGUGACUCAACAACAAUAC